rnacentral:misc_RNA from 1 species
CAACCCUCAAGCCCGGCUUGCGUGUUGGGCCCUCGUCCCCCGGUGGACGGGCCCGAAAGGCAGUGGCGGCGUCGUGUCCCGGUGCCCGAGCGUAUGGGGCUUUGUCACCCGCUUAGAGGCCCGGCCGGCGUUGGCCGACAACCAUCUUCAACUGGAGGACCCUCGGGUUCUCGACC